rnacentral:rRNA from 1 species
GACGAACGCUGGCGGCGUGCUUAACACAUGCAAGUCGAACGCUGAAGACCUGGCUUUUGUUGGGUUGGAUGAGUGGCGAACGGGUGAGUAACACGUGAGUAACCUGCCCUCUUCUUUGGGAUAACGCCCGGAAACGGGUGCUAAUACUGGAUAUUCACUGGCCUUCGCAUGGGGGUUGGUGGAAAGGUUUGUUCUGGUGGGGGAUGGGCUCGCGGCCUAUCAGCUUGUUGGUGGGGUGAUGGCCUACCAAGGCUUUGACGGGUAGCCGGCCUGAGAGGGUGACCGGUCACAUUGGGACUGAGAUACGGCCCAGACUCCUACGGGAGGCAGCAGUGGGGAAUAUUGCACAAUGGGCGAAAGCCUGAUGCAGCGACGCCGCGUGAGGGAUGGAGGCCUUCGGGUUGUAAACCUCCUUCGCUCAUGGUCAAGCCGCAACUGUGGGUUGUGGUGAGGGUAGUGGGUAAAGAAGCGCCGGCUAACUACGUG